rnacentral:rRNA from 1 species
CAGCAGCCACGGUAAUACGUAGGGUGCGAGCGUUAAACGGAAUUACUGGGCGUAAAGCGUGCGCAGGCGGUUCGUUAAGACAGAUGUGAAAUCCCCGGGCUUAACCUGGGAACUGCAUUUGUGACUGGCGAGCUAGAGUAUGGCAGAGGGGGGUAGAAUUCCACGUGUAGCAGUGAAAUGCGUAGAGAUGUGGAGGAAUACCGAUGGCGAAGGCAGCCCCCUGGGCCAAUACUGACGCUCAUGCACGAAAGCGUGGGGAGCAAACAGGAUUAGAUACCCCAGUAGUCCCUGUCUCUUAUAA